GCCACCACCAUCCUCGGGAGUUCAACAGAUCUGAUCACCAGACAACAUCCCAGCUACUCUCGUAGGAAGUGGGUGGGGAGGGUCAUGGCACGCCUGAGCACCUAGCUUCUCCCCCAGUCAGCUGCAUGCAAUUCUGCCCUAACUGUGCACGCUCUCAGGGUCUCGGGGAGAUGUAUACAGGUGGGGAAGGACUAAGGGAGGCUGUUCAACUAUAGGAAAGCUAUGGGGAAGGACUGAGGAGAGGCUGCUCAACUAUAGGAAAGUUAUGGGGAAGGACUAAGGGAGGCUGUUCAACUAUAGGAAAGCUAUGGGGAAGGACUAAGGGAGGCUGUUCAACUAUAGGAAAGCUAUGGGGAAGGACUGAGGAGAGGCUGUUCAACUAUAGGAAAGUUAUGGGGAAGGACUAAGGAGAAGCUACAGGAAAGCUAUCGACCCUGCUGAGUAAAAAUGCUCCACAGGAACCUUUGGGGAGCAGGGAGCACUGGAAUUCUAAAUGAUUGAGACUGGAGAGCCUUAGGAGGCUGACUGAGCUUCCCGCCCUCCCUUCUUCUUCCUGAUGAGAACGCUGAGGAGAUGGGUAGAGCUGUAACAGUGGGAGGACACGGAGGACACGGAGGACACGGAGGACACGGAGGACACGGACACAGGACACGCAGGACACGCAGGACACGCAAGACACAAGCAUACGGACAGACAUCCACUUACUGCAGUGGCAUCUGGAGCAGCGGAGUGGAGCGUGAACACAUGCUCUGGAAUACAUACUACUGAGACUCGAAAGGAGCAAGAUUCUGACACACGGUAAAUAUUGUUAUUUGCGGUCCAUCACCCACGUCGCGGGAAGGAUGGAGAGGCUUCUCAGAGAAGAAAGCUCUUUCUGUAUCACCCGUACUACAUGGAAACAGGGUGGAAAUGCUGCUUAUACAUGCAUGACUUCUUAUGGAACUAACAGAAAGUGGGGUUGUGGGGCUGGAGAGAUGGCUUGUUGGCUAGGACGGCUUGCCACUCUUCCGGAAGACCCGCAUUCAGGUCUCACCAGAUCACAAGCACCUGCAAUUCCAGCUCCCGGAGAUGGGACCCUUUUUUACUUGGCAUAUAUUUCCCCACAUACACGAAUAAAAAUAAAAAUAAAUAUUAA